ACAGUGGACCUUACAAUCGAGCAGGGAAUAAUUCAAUUCUAUCGUCAAACGUUAACAUUGGGGCCACCAGAUAACAAACAAAAAAAACGUUUCAGAGCUGAAAACAUUGCAACGAGGAGCUGGGAAAUAUGAGAAAGGGGCUUCAGAAACUCCAGCCGGGAUCUGAAAGAAUAAAAUUGCUCAGGGUAUUUUUUUUAAGAAGCAGGCUUUUUUUUAAGGGUGCGUGCAGAGAACCGGGGGGCACAUUCAAACUUCAAAACGGUGCUGUCAGGAAAUGUUUGCUCGCACAAGUGAAAACCAAAGCGUGGAACAGACCUCGAAACAGAGCGAUGGAUGCGAAUGAAUUCUAGAGUUGAAUAAAUGUUUGUGACAUUUAGAGGAGGCGAGGGAACAACGCUAGGAGGAUGUCCGAGCUGAACCUUCAAAUGAGCUGCCUCCCACUAAUGGACCUGUGACCUUCUGCGUUUCGCCGUGGCUCAGAGCCGUCCUAACGCCAGGAGGGGAGAGCAGCUUAAAACAAAAUUGCAGGAUCUGAACUUGGAGAGGAGCCUCGGGAGAACACAAACUUCGCCUAAUUUGAAUCGGAUUGGUUUAGUUUCUCGAUGUUAAGCAUUUCCGUAUCUCUGCGCCGUGAUCGUUAGCGGCGCAAUCCGGAUUUGAUUUGAUUUUGUCAUGGGACACCUUUUUCCUCUCGCAUUUUCAAUCCAAUUUUAGUUUGAAAACCGCUUUUGGAAAUGUACAUUGUUUCACUUCCUUGUGCAUGAGCGAAGGAAAUCAAACCCUGAGAAUGCAGAGCUGAACUGAUAUCGCUGUGGCAUCAUAUAUCAUGGAACAAGGCUAAGAAAGUAAUUUUUUUGAAGCAAAUGUGUAAACAAUUAAUUCAAAUAAUAGAAAGUUGUUAUAUUUGACAGUGAUGUAUCUGCGCUACUUAUGCAUUACAACUUAUUGUAAAAAGUAAUUAGUCUUCUAUGUAUUCAAUUAAAAUACAAAAUAAAAAUUAAGACCGU